UUAAAAAAUGGAAUACUUGGAAGAGUUCAAUGACUUUUGAGCAAUUUUUAAUGCGAUAUAUCACAAAUGCAGGGGGUGUCCAAAAUGUUUUUUCCACCACUGUAUAAGCA